GACGAACGCUGGCGGCGUGCUUAACACAUGCAAGUCGAACGGAAAGGCCCUGCUUUUGUGGGGUGCUCGAGUGGCGAACGGGUGAGUAACACGUGAGUAACCUGCCCUUGACUUUGGGAUAACUUCAGGAAACUGGGGCUCAUACCGGAUAGGAGCUCCUGCUGCAUGGUGGGGGUUGGAAAGUUUCGGCGGUUGGGGAUGGACUCGCGGCUCAUCAGCUUGUUGGUGGGGUAGUGGCUUACCAAGGCUUUGACGGGUAGCCGGCCUGAGAGGGUGACCGGCCACAUUGGGACUGAGAUACGGCCCAGACUCCUACGGGAGGCAGCAGUGGGGAAUAUUGCACAAUGGGCGGAAGCCUGAUGCAGCAACGCCGCGUGCGGGAUGACGGCCUUCGGGUUGUAAACCGCUUUCGCCUGUGACGAAGCGUGAGUGACGGUAAUGGGUAAAGAAGCACCGGCUAACUACGUG
rnacentral:rRNA from 1 species